GACGAACGCUGGCGGCGUGCUUAACACAUGCAAGUCGAACGGUGAAGCGCCUUCCUUUUUGGUGGGUGUGGAUGAGUGGCGAACGGGUGAGUAACACGUGAGUAACCUGCCCCCUUCUUCUGGAUAACCGCAUGAAAGUGUGGCUAAUACGGGAUAUUCUGGGUCUGUCGCAUGAUGGGUCUGGGAAAGAUAUUGUUUCGGUGGGGGAUGGGCUCGCGGCCUAUCAGCUUGUUGGUGGGGUGAUGGCCUACCAAGGCGGUGACGGGUAGCCGGCCUGAGAGGGUGGACGGUCGCACUGGGACUGAGACACGGCCCAGACUCCUACGGGAGGCAGCAGUGGGGAAUAUUGCACAAUGGGCGCAAGCCUGAUGCAGCGACGCCGCGUGAGGGAUGGAGGCCUUCGGGUUGUGAACCUCUUUCGCCAGUGAAGCAGGCCUGCCUUGUUUGUGGGUGGGUUGACGGUAGCUGGAUAAGAAGCGCCGGCUAACUACGUG
rnacentral:rRNA from 1 species